rnacentral:rRNA from 1 species
AACGUAGGGGGCAAGCGUUGUCCGGAAUCAUUGGGCGUAAAGAGCGUGUAGGCGGCCCGAUAAGUCCGCUGUGAAAGUCCAGGGCUCAACCCUGGAAUGCCGGUGGAUACUGUCGGGCUCGAAUCCGGAAGAGGUGAGUGGAAUUCCUGGUGUAGCGGUGAAAUGCGCAGAUAUCAGGAGGAACACCAAUGGCGAAGGCAGCUCACUGGGACGGUAUUGACGCUGAGACGCGAAAGCGUGGGGAGCAAACAGG